CAAGUCAUUAGUAUGUGUGACUCUGAUCAUGAACAUACGUCAUACGGAUCAUCAUGCGGAACCCAGGCAAGUUUGUUUUUGAAUUGAGAAUUGAACGGGAACCUCCCGUUGGCUGUUGAAGAGAACUGGAUCCAGUGUGUGACGUUACCCGUAGAAAAGAGCUUACUCCAACAAAAUAAGAUGCGGUAAUGGAAAGAGCAUGGUUAUGAUGACAGCAUUCAUUCGCUUCCUCGGUGGAACGUCUUCGCUCGGUUGCCAGACAUGGCAAGCUCCUGCUUCACAUUCCCAUAUGCACUCGUCUGUUAAUAUGAAUGUGUGCAUACGUGGAGCGCCGGAGUCGCUGGAAUGGUGAGCAGGAACCGGUGUGCGGAAUGUGGACCCCAAAGUCAAAGUGGGAAACGCUGCGGAAAGUGAUGGAGAAUGAAGAACAAGAACUCGUGUCCAAGAGAACUUUAGAGAUUGAGAUUAUUAUGGGAUGGCCAUUUUGUGUCACAAUCUGAGAUUCUCUCUUAAGGCAAAAUAAACCUUUAGUUUGAGCAAUUUUUACAAAAUUUGACAAAAAUGACUCCUCAGGAAGAGACCGCUAUCUUGAAUUGGAAGAAUAAAAA